AGCGAACGCUGGCGGCAGGCUUAACACAUGCAAGUCGAGCGGGCAUCCUUGUGGUGUCAGCGGCAGACGGGUGAGUAACGCGUGGGAACGUGCCCUUCGGUUCGGAAUAACUCAGGGUAACUUGAGCUAAUACCGGAUACGUGCGAGAGCAGAAAGGUUUAUCUGCCGAAGGAUCGGGCCGCGUAUGAUUAGCUAGUUGGUGAGGUUAUGGCUCACCAAGGCGACGAUCAGUAGCUGGUCUGAGAGGAUGAUCAGCCACACUGGGACUGAGACACGGCCCAGACUGGUACGGGAGGCAGCGGAGGGGAAUAUUGGACGAUGGGGGCAACGCUGAUACAGCCAUGCCGGGUGAGUGGUGACGGCGUUAGGGUUGUAAAGCUCUUUUCUUCGGGACGAUAAUGACGGUACCGGAGGAAUAAGCCCCGGCUAACUUCGUG
rnacentral:rRNA from 1 species